CGUAGCUUUUGGGAGAGGAGAAGAGAGCCCCUGCCGCCGUGGAGACCUCGGACUCGUCCGUAACAGACUUUUCUCUCGCUCACUCUCCCACUCUACACUCUACUCUACUCUCUCUCCUCUCUCUUUCUCUCUCUCUCUCUACGGUUGUAAAUAAAUACAAGAACAAACAAACAGAGAAGGAAAAACAAACAAUCCAAUUGAAAACAGUAAAUAAAAGCAAAGCGCAGAAAAAAGAAAAAGCGAAGCUUCCUUCGCAGCGCUUUGGGAAUUUUCGUCUGCUGCCUUCUCUCUUCCGCCCGAACGAUGUGUUCGGAGUUUUUUGUUCGUGGUUUAGUCUGCUUGAUUUUGCUAGUUAUUGUAUAAAUGUGAGUCCAGAAGCUGAAAUGGCAGAUCAUCAUGGAACGCCGAAUCCGUUUAUCUCCACUGUUUUCUGCGUUCACUUGGUUUGAGUGAUUGCAUUUGUGUGUGUAUGUGUUCUUGAAUAUGUGAGUGAUUGUUUAGCUCUCUUCCAUUAUUGUGCUUUUUUCCUUCGGGGCAAUGAAUGAAGCUUGUAAUUGCGGUGCGGGAUUAAAUUGGAAAGGCUAGUAUGAUAUCUGGAUGGUAAAAUGGGGCUGGUAUUUUCGAAAGGACGGGGUGUUGAAAAUACAUUAAAGAGUCUUUGAAUGUAAAUGAAUUGUUCCGUACUAA